rnacentral:rRNA from 1 species
CCUACGGGUGGCUGCAGUUGGGAAUCUGGCACAAUGGGGGAAACCCUGAUGCAGCGACGCCGCGUGGAGGAAGAAGGGUCUAGGCUCGUAAACUCCUUUUUCAGGGAAAGACUGAGGAGGGUACCCUGAGAAUAAGCUCCGGCUAACUACGUGCCAGCAGCCGCGGUAAGACGUAGGGAGCGAGCGUUGUCCGGAUUUACUGGGCGUAAAGAGCACGUAGGCGGUCUGUUAAGUGAGAAGUGAAAUCUCCAGCGCUCAACGCGGAAACGGCUUUUCAUACUGGCAGACUUGAGGGAUGCAUAGGCAAGUCGAAUUCCUGGUGUACCGGUGACAUGGGUUGAUAUCAGGAGGAAUACCCAUGGCGAAGGCAGCUUGCUGGGCAUCAUCUGCCGCUGAGGUGCGAAAGCGUGGGUCGCAAACAGGAUUAGAUACCCUAGUAGUC